rnacentral:rRNA from 1 species
UACGAAGGGUGCAAGCGUUACUCGGAAUUACUGGGCGUAAAGCGUGCGUAGGUGGUUUGUUAAGUCUGUUGUGAAAGCCCCGGGCUCAACCUGGGAAUGGCAAUGGAUACUGGCAGGCUAGAGUGCGGUAGAGGGUAGUGGAAUUCCCGGUGUAGCAGUGAAAUGCGUAGAGAUCGGGAGGAACACCAGUGGCGAAGGCGGCAUCCUGGACCGGCAUUGACGCUGAGGCGCGAAAGCUAGGGGAGCAAACGGG